rnacentral:rRNA from 1 species
CCUCGGGAGGCAGCAGUGGGGAAUAUUGGACAAUGGGGGCAACCCUGAUCCAGCAAUGCCGCGGUGUGUGAUGAAGGCCUUAGGGUUGUAAAGCACUUUCACUGGUGAAGAUGAUGACGGUAACCAGAGAAGAAGCCCCGGCUAACUUCGUGCCAGCAGCCGCGGUAAUACGAAGGGGGCGAGCGUUGUUCGGAAUUACUGGGCGUAAAGGGCGCGUAGGCGGUCUUUUAAGUUAGGCGUGAAAUCCCCGGGCUCAACCUGGGAACUGCGCUUAAGACUGGAAGACUAGAAAACGGAAGAGGGUAGUGGAAUUCCCAGUGUAGAGGUGAAAUUCGUAGAUAUUGGGAAGAACACCAGUGGCGAAAGCGGCUACCUGGUCCGAUUUUGACGCUGAGGCGCGAAAGCGUGGGGAGCAAACAGGAUUAGAUACCCUGGUAGUCCACGCCGUAAACGAUGUCUGCUAGAUGUCGGGGGGUUGCCCCUCGGUGUCGCCGCUAACGCAUUAAGCAGACCGCCUGGGAAGUACGGUCGCAAGAUUAAAACUCAAAGGAAUUGACGG